GCCCCUUCUCCAUUUACCACUAUCCGCGACACAUUCACUCAAGAAAGCUCCAUACUUUUCUCUGCAACCGCCAAGCCCGUUUCUCAUCCGAUUUGCGUCGACCUACAACCUGCCGUAGCCAAGCCACAUUCGAAACUACGAUCUUCAAUACAAGAAUUUUUCCAUUUCCCGAUCUGCAUAUAAUUUUUUAAAUUAAUAUAAUGUUUAGUAUGUUUUCGAGUGAUCUGAAGUGAAGUGAGUAAUUGUAAGUGUUAGUGCUGUUUUUCAAUUUACGUGUAACGUUAAUGUUUAGUGGAUUAAAAGUGUAAUUUGGAAUAUCAAUAGAAUAGAAGAAUCGAAGAACUUUUGUUACAAGACAUACUGUGGAAUUUUUGAUUUUUGAUUUUUGGAUGGAUGGAAAUUCUAUAUUUAGUUAUGAUAAUCAAUGAAGAAACUCGAUUUGCAAAAAUAUGGAAUUAGGACGAUGAAGAAAGUGAAGGUCUGACUACUCGAAAGGAAAAUGGAAUUCCAUAACUACAUGUUGCUUUGGAUUAUUUGUA
rnacentral:lncRNA from 1 species